UAAGAGUUUUAUUCUUGCUUGAAAAUUUUUGUUUUUAUAAAAUUUUGUAUGUAAAUUUUUGUGAAAAAUAUAUUCUUAAUGGAUUUUUAUUUAAUUUUUGCAGUAUUUAAAAUUAUGAAUUUAGGUAACUUUGAUUUAGUUAUUAUUAAAUUUAAAUAUUGAUUAAAAAUGUGCCAGCAGUCGCGGUUAGACAUUGAAUAUGAAUAAAUAUUAUUAGUUAAGUGGUUAUUUUGUUUAAUUUUGUUUAAUUUUGUUUAUUUUUAGGUGAAAUUUAAAAUUUUUGUAUUAAUUAUUAUUGUAAUUAUAGAGGCCAUGAUAUUUUUAAUUAUAUAAACUAGGAUUAGAUACCCUAUUAUAUUUUAUGUAAAUUUUUGACUUGAGUAGUAGUAGAAUAUUAUCUUGAAACUUAAAGAAUUUGGCGGUAUUUUAUUCUUUUUAGAGGAAUCUGUUUCGUAAUUGAUAAUCCGCGUUGUACCUUACUUAUAUUUAUUAAAUUUGUAUACCGUUGUUUAUUGAAAAUUUUUUUAGAAAUGUUAAUUUUCUAUAUUUGUAUUUAUUAAGUUAUUUCAGAUCAAGGUGCAGUUUAUGUAUGAGUGUAAAUGGAUUACAAUAUUUAAGUAAUAAAUGGAUUAAAAUUAGUAUACAAUUUUAUGAAGGUGGAUUUAAAAGUAAUUUUAUGUAGAUUGUUAAAAUGAAUAAGGCUCUAGAAUGUGUACAUAUUGCCCGUCACUCUCGUUGAAUUAUUAAAUGAGAUAAGUCGUAACAUAGUAGAUGUACUGGAAAGUGUAUCUAGUUUAA
rnacentral:rRNA from 1 species